rnacentral:lncRNA from 1 species
UGAAUUCGACCAGCGAACAGUAAGUCAGUCAUUCGUAGGUGGUCAGGAUGGGAUAGAUUCAAUACAGCCUAGUAUGGAGAAUAGCAAACCAGCAAACCGUGUCUGCCGGUAUCGAGAAUUAACUUUUAUCCAAAAAUUGGUCACGGAAGAAAGUCGUCGUCCUUUGCCCUUGGUUGGACUGCGGGUAGCCGGGGCACUCCACCCACACGGCCAGGUCGGCGACCCUUGGAAAAAACCCGAUCUAGAUUUGGUAGGGAAUAAGAAUGAGCGACACCUACUGAUCUCUGUCGAUGCUUCAAUC